rnacentral:rRNA from 1 species
CCCUUAGAUGUUCUGGGCCGCACGCGCGCUACACUGAUGCAUUCAACGAGUUCCUACCUUGGCCGAGAGGCCUGGGCAAUCUUUUGAACUUGCAUCGUGAUAGGGAUAGAUUAUUGCAAUUAUUAAUCUUGAACGAGGAAUUCCUAGUAAACGCAGAUCAUCAAUCUGCAUUGAUUACGUCCCUGCCCUUUGUACACACCGCCCGUCGCACCUACCGAUUGAAUGCUCAGGUGAGCCAUUCGGACUUUCAUCAUGCUGGUUUCCAGUUUUGAUGAAGGAAAGUCUUGCGAACCUUAUCAUUUAGAGGAAGGAGAAGUCGUAACA